AGGGAGAUAAUCAUUGAGCAGUUGUUAAUGAGUGUUGGGAGGCCUCGGGCCGAGACCAGCCACAGUGAGUCCUUACACAACUUCUGAUCAACUAAACUUUGACCCGGUUCACUGCUGAUGCAAAACAUACCCACCCUUUCUUUGACAGGCAGGUGGGGUCAAGGACAAGGCUGGCCCGGGAAACUCCUGGACCUCAAGUGUUGUUGGCAGCACAUUUUGUGUGCCAACAGUCACCGGUUGACAAAACACUACAGCUGUGAGAUGUCAACCCCACAGCCAAAGCUCAUGAGAAGAAACACCCUGUGGCCAGUGUGCAACUCCUUGGCAAAGAUCUGCACCUCUGAGCUGAUUGGGUGCUGAGGACCUUAUUGAGUGCGUGCUAUAUACCCUUGCCACCCCCAAAUAGGAAGUCCAGGAGGGCCGGGUUUCUUCUUAUUUGCUCAUGUUUGUAUCAACAGCACCUGGCAUAUAGUAGUCACCGAAUGCAUACACAUCAAACCCUAUUCUUGGUGCUUUACAUCAACUCAUUACCACCAGCCAAGGUGCCACUUGGAACAAUCCUAUGUACUGACAAGGACACUGAAGGAGAGAGGUCCAAUAGGCUGGCAGGAGGCAGGAAGGCUGUGAACACAAGCAAGCUGAGCUCCAGCACGUCACUCUGCAUGAGGAAUCCUUACCUCUUCUGGAACCUUCCAUAUAUUCCCCCAAAAAGUGCUGGGCUAGGCAUGGUCACUCUGGCAGCCUCGCAGGCACAUUUCACUUCCCUUGCAAGUCUGAGUCUUGGGCGUGGAGGGGGCUUGGUGGUUUUGCUGGAGUACACUUAAGCAAUGAGACCUUUAUAACAGUUGCAAAGAAUUUGCUUUGCAAGCUGUCAGAACCUCAGCGCAAUUUAAUGCAUCUCAAGGCUGUUUGCUGGGUUUUAAGAGCACUGGGUGAGAAGUCAGGAGGGGGGACCAGCUCCCAGGCCUGACUCCCCCAGGCAGACAGGGGUUCCACGGGAGCCCCCUACCUUAGGUGAGGCAGGGUGAAGACUUGGCUCACCCCCAUGGGGUGUGGUGUGACUCAGGCUUGUAAAGAGCCUCAGCAAAUUCAAGGCCCUGGGAAUGGCCAGCUGGACCUAUAGCCCUAAUGAGCCGAUCCCAAGGGCGUGGCCCACAGCCCAGCAGAAGGUCGACCCAUAUCUCCACUCCCACCAAAAUCAUCAACCUGCAGCUGGGUUUUGCUUCUUCAGGUUUUGGGGGGGCUUUCGGUGCAAACACAGCAUGGGGUGACUUGUUGGCAUGAGGUUACUUCACCUCCAGUUCACUGGCAUUUAUUACUAGAGGUGCCAUCCUUGGCCACAGGGAACGCUGCUGUGUCUACGCCCAAUAGGAAGUCACGCUUGGCUGCACAGGGCCCUUCCUUAGCACCACACCUGGGAUCAGGCGUUCCAAUGCACAGCCACAGGUGGCGCGUGCCUGCGGGUUGGUGCAUGCGGUUCACCCCACGGACUUGGUGCGCUCCCAUUUUGUGGACGGGACUGUAAUGGGCUGGUUCCCUGGAAGACCUCAGAGAUGGAAAAUCAAAACAGAAAAGCAGAGCCUGGAGUUUGGAAUGUUCCACACAAAUCCCAGGUGUUUGUUAUGAGUCUUCCAGGAGGGACACAGCUAGUUCCAUUCAAAUGUAGGUCUGGUGAGUCACCAUGACCUUCAUCCCAUGUGAAUCACCCACCUGGGCAGUGCAGAGGGGUGGCCUCAGUCUCCUGCCACUCUCCCUUGUCAAUGUUAAAAAGCAAAUAUUGGGCUACAAACUUACCUCAAAGUACAGAGUUCUCUGGAAGAAUGAGACACAAAUAGAUGGUAGGGUUUUGAGGACACAUGGGUGAAAGUAUGGGCAAAGGUCCCUUGUCCCCAGUUGAUGGCAUCCUGGGGCAAACACUUCUAAGGGGCUUCAGGCAGCCUCAGCCUCCCACUCUCCCACUGGACCGGAGUCUUGGUCGCAUGUGAACACCAAGAGUCCAAGCUCGUGUAAAAAGCUGAUCCCAGACACAAAACUGCCCUGGGAAAGAGGAGAAAGAAAACCAGUCCCUGGAAAAGGUGGUCUGAAGACUAAAACGGACUCCUUCCCUGCUCCUUCCCGCAGCUGCUGCGUGGCCUGUCGGGGAGCCGCCUCGCACCUCCAUGCCAGCUGCAUCCUCCACGUGGGGCGAUGAGGUCCGAAAAGGUACCCAGCUUUGGGAAUGAAGAGGAUCGAAGUGGUGGGCUUCCUCUGCAUGCCAAAAGGGAACAUAUUCCAUGCUUCUGUCUGAUAGCCGUCCUGCACGUCGCGAUGCUGAGAACGGUAUGAAGCGUCCCUCAAGGACUGGAGAUGGUGCUGGGUGUCUGAUGGAUCCUCAGCCCACGAGGGUCCACCGAAGAGCACCAUGUCCACAGCCAAGGGGACUGUCUCCCAGGUCUCCCGAGCCCCCCAGGCCAGCCUGCUGCUCUCGGCCUUCCUAGCACACGGUAGAGAGGGAGCAGCGGCUGGCAGGGCGCGUCUCCUCCUCACCCACGCAGCGCUGCCACCCGCUCAUGUCCCCCAGGCUGUCACAGGGCACCGGGAGAGGAGGGAGACUCAGAAGAGCCUUCAGGUGUGCUCAAGAGGCACCCAGAGACACGGGCAGGGCCUGCCUCGACUCCAGGGGACUCCGGCAACCAGAGAAGACGGGGCUGCGCCAGCUCAGCCAAGCCCUUCCCUGGACAGGUGAAGGUCCGAGAGCAAUGCUGGCCGCCAUCGUCCCCAGUCCGUCUCUCACCCGCAAGACCUGGACACCCUCCUCCACCCCACCCCUGAUGGGAUGGGCUCUGCCCUCCUGGGGCUGACCACAGAAUGGCCCUCUAUUCAGGAAUCUGGAUUCAAUGGAAAGCAUGGCUCUGGUAAAAGAAAAAAAAAAAAAAAACAGAAAAGGCCACAGUGACUUCCCAGAAGGUGACAAGAAACAAACUGUGACUAUCCCACACCUGGAGCCAAGGCAUUUGCGCAAACCGACCCUGGGUCUCCACGGCUGCCUUGUGCGCCGUGGGCACCGCUGACCACACCGAGGAAGUUUCUGGCACAAGACAACUCUGCUCAGCCCUGUGACGGCCGGCCCCAGAGUCGUCAUCUGGGCGAUUCAGGUCAUCCACCCCAACUGUGUUUGCCGGGGGCAAAUAUUUAGAGGUUGUGUGUUUACGGGGCCAUCGCAGCCUCCCGGCAGGCGGGAGGGGAUACUCACAGAGUGGCUCCAGCUCCUGUUUUGGUGCCGCAUAGAUUCAUACAAGUGAAAGGGUCCUUGACAGGUGGCACUUGUCUUGCUGAACAUGUUGGGUCUCCUUUGGGGACGGUGACAGUGCUUUGGAACUAGACAGAGGGGUGGGCGGGCAGCACUGGGUGCAGCAGUGCCCCACAGUUGAGCACCUUAAGGGUCCAUUUUAUGCCGUUCGGCUUUCACCCCAGGGUGCUGCGCAGAAGUCGCCAUGCCCGCUGGUCCUCUAUUGUGAGGUUGGAGGAACAGGUGGGACAGUGUGGUAGGGACAUACCAAGCCCACCUAGCACCCAGCCAACCCCCGGUGCUGUCCUUUCCAUGUCCCCACCCAGCCCUGAGGUCCAGGAAGGUGGCCUCGGGCUGAGGGCUCACCCAGGGGUCCUCCGAGGCUCCAGCAGGUACCUCCCUCCCUCCCUCCAGGGUUUUGCUCGCAGAGUUUUUCCAGAGUGAAGAAGGACAAAUGAAUCCAGGAGUAAAGCUCCUGCUCAGUGCGCUAAUGAAGUGCGGGUUUUACUGCAAAGAUGGGUCUGGAAGACACAUUUGGGAAGCGCUCAUGUCCAACGUCAGGCCCUCUGGAGGGACCUCUGGAGGGCUGCUUCUCUGUGGUGACCAACCCACGUGACAGCCGCUCCAGGAAGCGGCUCCGUCACCUCUGUGGAGCCUCCGCCUGAUGGAGAGGAUGAUGGCGCUCUGCCUGGGGGACGGGGCACUUGCUGGAGCUCACGUCACUCAUCCCAGGAGCCAUCGCCCCCUCAGAGUGCAGUGUCCCAUGUCACCCCCACCCGAGGUUGACAGCUUAAAUGGAAGCCACCGGGCAAGGUGAUGGCGGGUUCUUCCUCCACCCCCAGGAGGUGCAGGCCCGAGGCCCAAGCCCGGUGCCUAGUGCCCCUCCUCCCUGGGAGCCCUGCUGUGGCCGCUCACUGCACCCUGGGGGUGUCCACAUGUCUCAGUGGCCUCGCUGUUUGCACCCUCCCUGGGUGAGACUCCACCCCAGUCUCUGCGGACCCAGACCCAGGAGGCCGAGGCAGUUCCCGUCCCGGCUCCUCCAGAAACCUGCCCAGGCCCCUGCUGCUCUCUGUGCCGAGGGAGGAGGGAAGCUCGGGGCCCUUUCAUAGCCCUGCCCCUCUGCACUGGGUACACACCUGCCCUGUGUGGGACCCGAAGCCCACAGCGGGUCUCCUUCUGGACCCCAACCCUCUCACCUGCCUGGGAUCCGUCAGCCUCUCUUCUCUCCCUGAAUCUGCUUUCACAACCGGGCUUUGUCUUCCCCUUCAGUUUGCAUGUUGUAGACAAGGUGUACAAAGGCCAUUCUGCCUGAAUUUUUCAACAUUCCCUUUUAUUCUGAGCCUGAGUUUGCAGCUGGCUUUCCAUGUCAAGGAUGCUAGCUGCCUUACAGAGCUCCAUGUGGCCUUCUAAAAUGCAGGCCAUCUCUGUGAGACUCUAGCCUGAUCGACAGUAGAACUGGCAAACAGACAGAUGGCCCCCACUGAUUCGUCCCUGCACCUGCAGUCCCUGACAGCUCCCUGAGGCUCCAAGUUUGCUCAUCUCUAACUGAGACUGCCCUUCAUACUCAAAUCACUCUUGGCUUCAGGUACUACCGAGUAAGUCAGUCCGUUUUCUAAGAGUUUGCUUCAAAGAAAGUGAGAACGAAUUUGUCACAGAGCACAGCUCCAAACGCACUCAGAAAUGACAGCCACAUCAGGCAGAGCAAGGGCAGGAGGGACUAAUUGUAUAGUUACCACAAAGACAAUCCAACACACUUAUUUCACAGGGAGAAAAUGGACCAUGCUGUUACUCCACUGGAAGUAACAAUGAUUGCUCAGGAACUGAACGCCACCUUCCGCCAGCUCCCUGGUAUCGAUGCAAAUCGUCCCGUUUUCCUGUGAUGCCGCCACUCAGAACAGAAACAUCUUUUCUGAUGGGUGCUGGGGAUAAUUCCUAAAACUCAGUGAAGUUAGCUCAGCCUGUGGGCUCUUCUACCAGGGGGCAGACUUCACAGCACCCAGACGCGGGCCACACAGCCCAGGUGGGCCCAGCCCAGCGGCUCCGGGGCUGGGCAUCUAACUCUGCUGUAGAAACCGUAAGUGUUUCCAGGUUGAAGUUUAGAGGGGACGGAGCCCCCUGGGAACGGCUGUUCCGGUAGCUGGUGCUGGAGCUGGGUCUGUGUUCCCGCACGCGGGUCGCACUGUCAACCACAAGUCUGCUGAAGACAGGUGCCACCUGGAAGCCCCUUCCCCAAGGGGAGAGCAUGGCUCAGAGAGGCCCCCACCAGGGCCGGGGGUAGGGGGCAAGAAGCUUUCCCUUGUGCUUGGGUAUUGCAAAAGAAACUUGAGGAGUUGAGAGCUCUGCCCCAGUGAGUGUCCCAAGGGGAGGCUGUCUUCUGGGUAGGUUGGGGCCCCCGACUGGAAAGCGGGAAGUGGGGAUCAGGGCACCUGUGCUUUCUCACAUGUGCUAGAUUCCUUCAUUCCUGGAUCCCCCACCGUUUUCUGCUGAAAGCCGGCCAGGGUUGUGCAAGUUUUCUUUCCCCAGCUUGGCACCAGGCAGCUGUGAGCCAAGAGGCCGCUUACUGGAUCCCUCCGUCCUGUCCCGUGCCGACCCCGCUGGGCCCGCGGGGGAAGGCAGGGUCGUCUGUUUGGGAGCAGCUCUUAGCUCACAGGCUCUCCCAGUAACAGGGUCAAGUGCCCAGUGCUGGGGGCAACGGGGCCUGGCUUCAGACACAGACCUCCCUGCGGAGGCCAUCCGUCUUGCUGAGUGGCUGACCCCACUUGGCCAGAGAGCGCGUCGGAAGCCAGGAUGGGCUCAAUCUGUGGGCUGCAGCGGGGCACAGGAGGGGCAGCGCAGUGCGCAGGCCAUCAGCAUGGGCCCUGGAGGCAGACCCUCCCUCUGCCUUGACCACGCACUCCUGCCACUGGGCGUCCUCAGUCUCCCCACCUGUCAAAUGAGGUGGAUUUGUCCCUGCUUCCAAGGGGAGUCAGCUCUGAGCAUUAGACACCCCAAGGAGAGCACCAGCACGCUCAGCCAGCGCUCCCCAGAGCUACGGAGGAGCAGCACGGUUCCUCUGCUGUUGUGGGCAAACUCCUUCAGGGACUCUACUGUGGGCGGCUCUGGGGCACUAGCUGUGGGGGGAAUAGGAUAGUGAACACAGUCUGCAUUCUCACCCCUGUGAUGGCCUCCUUGCCCCUAACGUAGCUGGUACACAGGAGGCAACCUCCUUACCCCAACCGCACCUGGCACACGGGAGGUACUUAGCAGAUGCCUUCUGCACGCCCAGCGGGGAAGCCCCUUUGCCCACAGAGCUCCCCAGCGAGCCUGCAGGUGGCUGGGCCCCAGGAGAGCUGUCUGGCAGCAGACGGCCCUGUGGGAGCCCCAGAGCCUGGCCUGGGUGCCUUCAACUUUCCCGUCUGGACUUCUCUCAUUUCCCUGAACCAGAUGCAUGUUAUCCCGUGGGGACGAACCGGCUGGUCCUUCACUGUGGUGCUGUGUCCCCAUCAUCCACAGCUCCCAGAACACACACGGCCCCAGACCCUCCGAGGCCUCCCCAGCGGGUCCCCUCUGAGCCACGUGGUUUGCUUUUCUAGAGUCUCUCAGUGCAUUCUCACACUUGUGAGCACCAGGGGCCACAGGAUGCAGGCACCUCCAGCCAAACACACGCGCUGAACAGCCAGAGUCACUUCCAAAGUCCUCCAAGUCCCAGCGGGACCAGCCCCUGUUAGCACAACUCCAGAGCUUACUGGGAAUGUGGGUAAACACUCUGGCAAGACACUCGCCCUGACAGCCGUGAUGAAUAGCUGGACUCGCUCUCCACCUGGCCCAGCUCGCUCCAAAUGCAAGCUCUGGAAAGAUCCUUUUCUCGUUUGCCCUUUGGUAAGUGCUGAGGCAUGAACAAAAGUCCAUUCCCAAGCUGGGUACCUAAUUUUUAUUAAUAAUAUCUCCACUCUAUCAAUCACUGCUAACUAACGGGAACACUUAAAGAAAUUAAUUUAAACCUGGCAAGAGGAAACACAGCAGUCCACUGCUUUCCCUCCUCGGUGAAUUCUGAGACUUUGGCUGCACUGAAAUGUGCGCCGUGCCAUGGGCUGGCCGGCUCAGCUUCCCCCAGUGGAGGCCAGCUUCUCUUUCUGCAACGAGGCACCCUGGACAAGGGGCAGUGUCAGCAGAGUCUCCUAAUUACUUCCCGACACCCCACCUGUUCUCAGAAGUGCUGGAGUGGCCACAGCCCACAGGGGGCCUGGGCACAGGGCUGGCCCACAGGUUGGGGGAGCUGCCCAUUCUUUGCAGGACACACCUGAUGCAGAGGUGGGGCCCCUGCUGUGUGGCUAUUCCUGCAAGUUCAGGCGUCUACAUUUUUUACCCAAAGGUAGAGACACAUGGGCCAGGAAGACACAGGCGAGAUGCAGGAGUUGAACAACCCUGAGAGGAUAUACUCUAUUCUUGCUUUGUCUUGCCCCUGGAUGCUGGUCCCUAUCUAACCUGAAACCUGGUGCUCCAAAGAUGGCUGGCUGUGGGCCCGUCUUCAGGGGCCCAUGUUUAUUUGUUCUCAGCAAAAUACAAUGUCUGGGAUAAAAGUCAAAGACAGCACUGGCGCAUCCCCACACCCAUCCCCACACCGAGACUUCUUCCCAAACCACAAAACAAGGGAGGCUGGACUUCCGAAGAGCUGCCCACGGUGCUGGAGGGGACGGUUCAGGUGCUUUGGGCCAACACAUGUUUUCAGAGUGAUGUAUUUGAAGACAGGCAGCAAGUGCUUCUGCACUUGGAUAUUUCUGCAUACAUAUUGAAUGUGGGAAGCUUAUUUGAGCAGUGUUAAAAAAAACUUUAUCUUUUAAUUUAAUGUUUAAAUUAAUUGAUUUUAUAACUCCUUUUAGAAGCUUCUUACAUUUCGGAGAGUAGUUAUUUUUUAAGUUGUGCUUUGUUUUAUUUUUGAGUGACACAUGAUAACUGUAUACAUUUGAUGCCUUGUUUUCUCCCUUUCAUGUGAAAGUCUCAGGUGUCCUUUAUGUUCAUGUGGUCUCCACAGCCUCCGUUCAGAGAGCGGAGGCAGAGGAAGUCAGUGGGGUUGGAUAAUUGCAUUCAGCAGGUGCCACAUACAGAGCAGCUCCUGUGAAUUAUUAAUGAUAAAUUAUUUGGGGAAAAAACUUCUUGGACUUUCUUUGUCGUACUUUUAACAAUUGAGCACGAUACUCGUCAGACAGCUUCUUGCGAGCUGUCAAAUUAUUUAAAUGACAGAUGAAUGUGCUGGGUAUGUAACGAAAAAAGAGUGCUCUCUGUGCUGGUUUGAUGGGCACCGUUCGGGCUUUUCAAAAUAAAGGUUCUGAGCACUUUAA